GAUUAAUUAGCUUAAAAAGCAUUUGUUUUGAAAACAAAAGAAAGGGCCUUAUGCCCUAUUUAUCU
rnacentral:tRNA from 1 species